rnacentral:rRNA from 1 species
UACGUAGGGGGCAAGCGUUGUCCGGAAUCACUGGGCGUAAAGCGCGCGCAGGCGGUCAUCUACGUCUGGGGUGAAAGCCCGGAGCUCAACUCCGGGAUUGCCUUGGAUACGGGAUGACUUGAGGAUCGGAGAGGCAAGGGGAAUUCCACGUGUAGCGGUGAAAUGCGUAGAGAUGUGGAGGAACACCUGUGGCGAAGGCGCCUUGCUGGCCGAUUACUGACGCUGAGGCGCGAAAGCGUGGGGAGCAAACAGG